rnacentral:rRNA from 1 species
UACGAAGGGGGCUAGCGUUGUUCGGAAUUACUGGGCGUAAAGCGCGCGUAGGCGGCUUUGUAAGUUAGAGGUGAAAGCCCGAAGCUCAACUUCGGAAUUGCCUUUAAGACUGCAUCGCUAGAAUUGUGGAGAGGUAAGUGGAAUUCCGAGCGUAGAGGUGAAAUUCGUAGAUAUUCGGCGGAACACCAGUGGCGAAGGCGACUCACUGGCCCGAUACUGACGCUGAGGCGCGAAAGCGUGGGGAGCAAACAGG